UACGGAGGGUGCGAGCGUUGUUCGGAAUCACUGGGCGUAAAGCGCGUGUAGGCGGCAUCCUAAGUCUGGUGUGAAAGCCCGGGGCUCACCCCCGGAAGUGCACUGGAUACUGGGAAGCUAGAGUACCGGAGAGGAGGGUGGAAUUCCUGGUGUAGCGGUGAAAUGCGUAGAUAUCAGGAGGAACACCGGUGGCGAAGGCGGCCCUCUGGACGGAUACUGACGCUGAGACGCGAAAGCGUGGGGAGCAAACAGG
rnacentral:rRNA from 1 species